UCGCUGGGGUAGCCUACACCCCAGUGGUAUCAACAAUGACUUCUCUAACUUCAAAUAACUCUUGCUU